AAGAGCUUGCGUCUGCCUGGCUGCUUUCAGAUCCAGUCCUCUUUGCCAGCCAAAGCAGAUUCUUCUUGCCUGCUUCCAAGAGGCAUGAGCUUAAACAACUGGUCUCAGAGUGGGGUGUUUCUACAGUCUGAGCCAUGAAGAGAGGAGAUGAAGUCUUCUCCUCUUCGGUGUAUAUGGAAGAGACUGGAGCUGAGCUGCUGUCUCCGUACCAGUAAAACUACAGUGAAAUCUGAAUUCUUUGUUCAUGUUUCAUCGCUCGCUUUGAGGAAAACAGUGAUGAUGAGAUCAGACAUCAGCCUCGGGGGGAGCGUCGGUACCACCCACCCCACUGCAAUCAGCGUCUGGUUCUCUCCAUUCCUGUCUGUCCCUGGCAGUGCUGCUGCAGGCUCCCCUGGGCAGAGCAGUCUUGUUCUACAGCACUCAGGCCCAUGGAUGGCGCGUUGCUGAGCAGUGCUGGUGAGGAGAUAAAGAUGCUUUGACAAGGUCCAGUGCUGGCAGUAUGUAGAUAUGCUUAAUCCAGCCAGGAACCUGCUCCAGAGAUCACUAAGCUGCCUUGUCACUACUGACCCCCCAGUCUGUGUGAGGACGUAGGACUUAAUGUUUGAAACCCCUGGAAAAACUCUCGAAUCUGCAAGAUCUCAGAAACAGGAAAAUCUGUUUUCCUGCAUAAGAAGAAGGGCUUUUUGUGGUGACUGAAUACCGUACAUACAUCAGAAUGGCAGU